AAUGAACGUUGGCGGCGUGGAUUAGGCAUGCAAGUCGCGCGAGAACCGUAGCAAUAUGGGGACAGCGGCGAAAGGGACAGUAAUGUAUAGGUUACCAGCCUCCAGGACGGGGAUAGUCACGGGAAACUGUGAGUAAUACCCGAUAAUGUCUCCGGACCAAAGGUGUGAGUCCGCCGGGAGAUGGGCCUAUAUCCUAUUAGCUAGUUGGUGAGGUAACGGCUCACCAAGGCCAUGAUGGGUAGCAGGUGUGAGAGCACGACCUGCGUCAUUGGGACUGAGACACUGCCCAGACACCUACGGGUGGCUGCAGUCGAGAAUCUUCGGCAAUGGGCGCAAGCCUGACCGAGCGACGCCGCGUGCGGGAUGAAGGCCUUCGGGUUGUAAACCGCUGUCAGAGGGGAUGAAAUGCUGGUGGGUACUCCCAUCAGUUUGACAGAGCCCUGGAGGAAGCACGGGCUAAGUUCGUGCCAGCCGCCGCCGUAAGAC
rnacentral:rRNA from 1 species